rnacentral:rRNA from 1 species
CUACGGGUCGCUGCAGUGGGGAAUCUUGGACAAUGGGCGCAAGCCUGAUCCAGCCAUGCCGCGUGAGUGAAGAAGGCCUUAGGGUCGUAAAGCUCUUUCGCCAGAGAUGAUAAUGACAGUAUCUGGUAAAGAAACCCCGGCUAACUCCGUGCCAGCAGCCGCGGUAAUACGGAGGGGGUUAGCGUUGUUCGGAAUUACUGGGCGUAAAGCGGGCGUAGGCGGAUUAGUCAGUCAGAGGUGAAAUCCCAGGGCUCAACCCUGGAACUGCCUUUGAUACUGCUAGUCUUGAGUUCGAGAGAGGUGAGUGGAAUUCCGAGUGUAGAGGUGAAAUUCGUAGAUAUUCGGAGGAACACCAGUGGCGAAGGCGGCUCACUGGCUCGAUACUGACGCUGAGGUGCGAAAGUGUGGGGAGCAAACAGGAUUAGAUCCCCCGUAGUC